rnacentral:misc_RNA from 1 species
GGGUCGAUGAAGAACGCAGCCAGCUGCGUGAAUUAAUGUGAAUUGCAGGACACAUUGAACAUCGAUAUCUUGAACGCAUAUUGCGGCCUCGGGUAGUCCCGAGGCCACGCCUGUCUCAGGGUCGGUUACAAGUCAAUCGCGAAGUCGCUCUCCGCUCGCGCAUUGGGCGUCAAAGCAGGUCGACCGUCGUCGCCGCCGCCGCUCGUCGGCGGCGGAGUCGACGCACACCAACGCUCUGUCGCCUCAAGUACAGACGGGUUGCCCGGCCGCGUUCGGCUCGGGACGGUGACUCGACUCUCGAAGAGCGCACCGCAUCUCCCGACGUCGUUCGUUCGCGUCGAAAGCCCAACACAGCAGACUUUCGUCGACGGCUGCUCUCCUGUCGCCGACGCCUUCGUCUACGUAUCACAACGACUUCGACCUGAGAUCAGACGAGAUUACCCGCUGAAUUUAAGCAUAU